GCCUGGCUAGCUCAAUCGGAUAGAGCGUCAGAUUCUUAUGCUGGUUGGCAGGCUAUAUAUGUUGAUCUGAAGGCUGCGAGUUUGACCCUCGCGGUGGGCU